AACGCACCUUGCGCCCCUCGGUAUUCCGGGGGGCAUGCCUGUUUGAGUGUCGCGUUAAUCACUCGCCUCCGCCCGACAUUCGUGCCGGGCGGGUCGGUGGACUUGGACCGUGCUGCCGCCAGGCGGCUCGUCUUGAAAUGCAUCGGCCUUUGUUGGCGGCCCUUCUGCGGUGUGAUAGUAUCGUCAUCGCCGGUCGGGAUCGCUAGGGGGCCUUGUCGCCGCUCUCGGGUGGCAGAUAUGACCUUGCGCUUUGACCUCAAAUCAGGUAGGACUACCCGCUGAACUUAA
rnacentral:misc_RNA from 1 species